ACGGGGCGCAGCAGGCGCGGUAAUACGGAGGGUGCGAGCGUUAAUCGGAAUUACUGGGCGUAAAGCGCAUGCAGGUGGUUUGUUAAGUCAGAUGUGAAAGCCCGGGGCUCAACCUCGGAAUAGCAUUUGAAACUGGCAGACUAGAGUACUGUAGAGGGGGGUAGAAUUUCAGGUGUAGCGGUGAAAUGCGUAGAGAUCUGAAGGAAUACCGGUGGCGAAGGCGGCCCCCUGGACAGAUACUGACACUCAGAUGCGAAAGCGUGGGGAGCAAACAGGAUUAGAUACCCUGGUAGUCCACGCCGUAAACGAUGUCUACUUGGAGGUUGUGGCCUUGAGCCGUGGCUUUCGGAGCUAACGCGUUAAGUAGACCGCCUGGGGAGUACGGUCGCAAGAUUAAAACUCAAAUGAAUUGACGGGGGCCCGCACAAGCGGUGGAGCAUGUGGUUAAUUCGAUGCAACGCGAAGAACCUUACCUACUCUUGACAUCCAGAGAACUUUCCAGAGAUGGAUUGGUGCCUUCGGGAACUCUGAGACAGGUGCUGCAUGGCUGUCGUCAGCUCGUGUUGUGAAAUGUUGGGUUAAGUCCCGCAACGAGCGCAACCCUUAUCCUUGUUUGCCAGCGAGUAAUGUCGGGAACUCCAGGGAGACUGCCGGUGAUAAACCGGAGGAAGGUGGGGACGACGUCAAGUCAUCAUGGCCCUUACGAGUAGGGCUACACACGUGCUACAAUGGCGCAUACAGAGGGCAGCCAACUUGCGAAAGUGAGCGAAUCCCAAAAAGUGCGUCGUAGUCCGGAUUGGAGUCUGCAACUCGACUCCAUGAAGUCGGAAUCGCUAGUAAUCGUGGAUCAGAAUGCCACGGUGAAUACGUUCCCGGGCCUUGUACACACCGCCCGUCACACCAUGGGAGUGGGCUGCAAAAGAAGUAGGUAGUUUAACCUUCGGGGGGACGCUUACCACUUUGUGGUUCAUGACUGGGGUGAAGUCGUAACAAGGUAACCAAGGGCGAUUCGUUU
rnacentral:rRNA from 1 species